UGGGGAAUAUUGCACAAUGGGCGCAAGCCUGAUGCAGCCAUGCCGCGUGUAUGAAGAAGGCCUUCGGGUUGUAAAGUACUUUCAGUCGGGAGGAAGGUGGUAAGGUUAAUAACCUUGGCAAUUGACGUUACCGACAGAAGAAGCACCGGCUAACUCCGUGCCAGCAGCCGCGGUAAUACGGAGGGUGCAAGCGUUAAUCGGAAUUACUGGGCGUAAAGCGCACGCAGGCGGUUUGUUAAGUCAGAUGUGAAAUCCCCGGGCUCAACCUGGAAACUGCAUCUGAUACUGGCAAGCAUGAGUAUCGUAGAGGGGGGUAGAAUUCCAGGUGUAGCGGUGAAAUGCGUAGAGAUCUGGAGGAAUACCGGUGGCGAAGGCGGCCCCCUGGACGAAGACUGACGCUCAGGUGCGAAAGCGUGGGGAGCAAACAGG
rnacentral:rRNA from 1 species